rnacentral:rRNA from 1 species
UAGGGAAUCUUCGGCAAUGGACGAAAGUCUGACCGAGCAACGCCGCGUGAGUGAAGAAGGUUUUCGGAUCGUAAAACUCUGUUGGUAGAGAAGAACGUUGGUGAGAGUGGAAAGCUCAUCAAGUGACGGUAACUACCCAGAAAGGGCGGCUAACUACGUGCUAG